AUGAACGCUGGCGGCGUGCCUAAUACAUGCAAGUCGAGCGAACAGAUGAGGAGCUUGCUCCUCUGACGUUAGCGGCGGACGGGUGAGUAACACGUGGAUAACCUACCUAUAAGACUGGGAUAACUUCGGGAAACCGGAGCUAAUACCGGAUAAUAUAUUGAACCGCAUGGUUCAAUAGUGAAAGACGGUUUUGCUGUCACUUAUAGAUGGAUCCGCGCCGCAUUAGCUAGUUGGUAAGGUAACGGCUUACCAAGGCAACGAUGCGUAGCCGACCUGAGAGGAUGAUCGGCCACACUGGAACUGAGACACGGUCCAGACUCCUACGGGAGGCAGCAGUAGGGAAUCUUCCGCAAUGGGCGAAAGCCUGACGGAGCAACGCCGCGUGAGUGAUGAAGGUCUUCGGAUCGUAAAACUCUGUUAUUAGGGAAGAACAAAUGUGUAAGUAACUAUGCACGUCUUGACGGUACCUAAUCAGAAAGCCACGGCUAACUACGUG
rnacentral:rRNA from 1 species